rnacentral:pre_miRNA from 1 species
AGAAGAAGGUGAUGAUGAUGAUGAUGAUGAUGAUGAUGAUGGAACAAACAGCAGUGCACAAAUGAGCUGUGAGUAAAAGCAUCAUUAUCAUCAUCAUCAUCAUCAUCACUACCA